AGGAUCGUCAUGCUUGAAUCCUAGAUCAGCCAUUUUCUAAUUGGUGACCUUGGGCCAGAAGUGGUAACUGCUUCCUGCAUAUGCUAACUCCGUGGUAUUCUAAGCAGAUGACCUUUGAACUGGAAUUGCAGCAUCACCUCUCCUGGGUCUCCAGCCUGCCAGCCCACCCUGAAGAUUUUGGACUUUGCAGCCUCCAUAAUUGCAUGAGCCAAUUCCUUCUAAUAAAUCUC